rnacentral:tRNA from 1 species
AGCCGAUGUGGCUCAAUUGGCAGAGCAGCUGAUUUGUAAUCAGCAGGUUAUCGGUUCGAGUCCGAUCAUCGGCUUCCA